UGGCUCUAACCUGUCCUAUCCACCCCUUAAGACCCAGCAGAACAAAGGUGGAGCCUGGACUUGGGCAAGGUGACUAGCUCAGAAAUCAUGCCACCCCCCCCCCCCCCCCCCCCCCCCCCCCGAUGGAGCCUGGGAUAGAGUUGGCCUGGAGGCUUCCAAGGGGGAGAAAUGAAUGAGUGAAGAUUCUUCUUCUGGGUCAGAGAUAUGGCAACAACCUAAGUAUCUGUCAGUUGACGAAUGGAUAAAGAAGAUGUAGAAGACAGGUACAAUGGAAUAUUAUUCAGCCAUGAGGAAGAAGGAAAUUUUGCCAUUUGUGACAACACGGAUGAAACUUGAGGACACUAUGCUAAGUAAUAUGUCAGAGAAAGACAAAUACCAUAUGAUCUCACUUAUGCAUGGAAUUAAAAUAGCCAGACUGGGUGCCUGAGUGGCUCAGUCGGUUAAGCCUCUGA